rnacentral:rRNA from 1 species
CCUACGGGAGGCAGCAGUGGGGAAUUUUGGACAAUGGGCGAAAGCCUGAUCCAGCAAUGCCGCGUGAGUGAAGAAGGCCUUCGGGUUGUAAAGCUCUUUUGUCAGGGAAGAAACGGUGGGAGCUAAUAUCUCCUGCUAAUGACGGUACCUGAAGAAUAAGCACCGGCUAACUACGUGCCAGCAGCCGCGGUAAUACGUAGGGUGCAAGCGUUAAUCGGAAUUACUGGGCGUAAAGCGUGCGCAGGCGGUUUUGUAAGUCUGAUGUGAAAUCCCCGGGCUCAACCUGGGAAUUGCAUUGGAGACUGCAAGGCUAGAAUCUGGCAGAGGGGGGUAGAAUUCCACGUGUAGCAGUGAAAUGCGUAGAUAUGUGGAGGAACACCGAUGGCGAAGGCAGCCCCCUGGGUCAAGAUUGACGCUCAUGCACGAACGACGGUGGGGACGGACGAACGAGUAGUAGUACCGUACCGGUACGUACCGACCGUAACCCGUAACGUACGUCGUACUACGUUAGUUCGGUUCGGUUACGUUAGUUACGUUACGUUACGGUACGUACGACGUACGUACCGUCGUAGUAAGGUAACGGACCGGUCCGGGUACGGGGUACGGGUUACGGUCGACGAAGUAAACGUUAAACGUAACGAAAGUAAGUUAGGACGGUGUAGAGACGACGACGACGACGACGACGGAGGGAGGAGG